rnacentral:misc_RNA from 1 species
UCCGAGUUGACCCCGGCAGUCUCCUAUGAGUCCCCACCAUUACGUGCUGGCAACAUAGAACGAGGGUUGCGCUCGUUGCGGGACUUAACCCAACAUCUCACGACACGAGCUGACGACAACCAUGCACCACCUGCGCAGGACCCUUGCGGACCCCAUAUCUCUAUGGGAUUUCCCUGCAUGUCAAGCCUUGGUAAGGUUCUUCGCGUUGCAUCGAAUUAAUCCGCAUGCUCCGCCGCUUGUGCGGGGCCCCGUCAAUUCCUUUGAGUUUUAGCCUUGCGGCCGUACUCCCCAGGCGGGGCGCUUAAUGCGUUAGCUACGGCACGGAUCCCGUGGAAGGAAACCCACACCUAGCGCCCACCGUUUACGGCGUGGACUAC